AUUGAACGCUAGCGGGAUGCUUUACACAUGCAAGUCGAACGGCAGCGCGGACUUCGGUCUGGCGGCGAGUGGCGAACGGGUGAGUAAUGUAUCGGAACGUGCCCAGUAGCUUGGGAUAACUACGCGAAAGCGUAGCUAAUACCGCAUACGCCCUACGGGGGAAAGCAGGGGAUCGUAAGACCUUGCACUAUUGGAGCGGCCGAUAUCGGAUUAGCUAGUUGGUGAGGUAACGGCUCACCAAGGCGACGAUCCGUAGCUGGUUUGAGAGGACGACCAGCCACACUGGAACUGAGACACGGCCCAGACUCCUACGGGAGGCAGCAGUGGGGAAUUUUGGACAAUGGGGGCAACCCUGAUCCAGCCAUCCCGCGUGUGCGAUGAAGGCCUUCGGGUUGUAAAGCACUUUUGGCAGGAAAGAAACGUCGCGGGCUAAUGCCCCGUGGAACUGACGGUACCUGAAGAAUAAGCACCGGCUAACUACGUG
rnacentral:rRNA from 1 species